GUCAAUUACCUAUCACUAAAGUGACGGGCUUAUACAGCUUGAAAUUGACUAGUCUAGGUUCUCACGAACUACGUUGGUUGGGUCAUGACACCUCUCGGUGCCCGUUCUAGCCGUUUGCCCUGUCGUCUGUUAUUAAAAGUCCUGUUAGGUCGGGGCGGUGUUGCAGAUGGAAAAAGCCUUUCCAACAUUGACGAAGAACAACAAACUCGAAGGAG
rnacentral:ncRNA from 1 species